rnacentral:rRNA from 1 species
CCUACGGGAGGCAGCAGUGGGGAAUAUUGGACAAUGGGCGAAAGCCUGAUCCAGCAAUGCCGCGUGAGUGAUGAAGGCCUUAGGGUUGUAAAGCUCUUUUACCAGGGAUGAUAAUGACAGUACCUGGAGAAUAAGCUCCGGCUAACUCCGUGCCAGCAGCCGCGGUAAUACGGAGGGAGCUAGCGUUGUUCGGAAUUACUGGGCGUAAAGAGUACGUAGGCGGUUAUUCAAGUCAGAGGUGAAAGCCCGGGGCUCAACCCCGGAACUGCCUUUGAAACUAGAUAGCUAGAGUCUUGGAGAGGUUAGUGGAAUUCCGAGUGUAGAGGUGAAAUUCGUAGAUAUUCGGAAGAACACCAGUGGCGAAGGCGACUAACUGGACAAGUACUGACGCUGAGGUACGAAAGCGUGGGGAGCAAACAGGAUUAGAUACCCUGGUAGUCCACGCCGUAAACGAUGAUAACUAGUUGUUCGGGCACUUGGUGCCUGAGUGACGCAGCUAACGCAUUAAGUUAUCCGCCUGGGGAGUCGGUCGCAGNUUAAACUCAAGAUUGACGNNGNGNNGCAGNGACAGAGGAGAG